GGUCAAGUUCAUUCUACAUGGUGUUCAGAGACAGCUAAGUAAGGAAGCUACCGUGGACACCGUGUGUGGAUUUCAGCAGUCAGUAACAGAGAAUGCUUUCCCAACAUUCAAUCUUCUAGGUAAGCUUAAGUAAGACCACUGUGUCCACAAAGUCAACUAGAGUGCAAAUCCAGAGAAUGAAUUGAGGUAGUUAUCACAGGGGAGAGAGAAAAGGAGACGUUUUAAAAGACAUGGCAGUCACAUAAGGCAAGGAUAAACAUUUAUGUAGAUCUGUUUGCUUGUCAACUUUGUAAAAAAAAAAAAAAAAAAAACUAAAGCAAACCAAUCAAAGUGAUGUGAGUAGCGAUGUCAGCUCGGCAUGGUGGAGCUCUUGGAAUAGAAGUGAUCGUAGCUGUAGCUUUGCUCUUCUUCUGCUCUAGCACAUUCCUUUCUCCUGAAGGACCAACGUCUGGCUCUCUUGCCAGUUCUUGGGGGAUGGUGAGUAUUGGAUGUUUUCGUCUGAGUUCCUGUCACGAGUAAUUCUGGAAGCUGCUAAGACAAGAAUGCUACAUUCCAUGAAUCUUUGAAUGUUUGGCUAUAGGGUGAGUGUUCCUGGUUGAGAAAAUAUUGCUAAACUUGAGAAUUCCAAGACUCAGGAUCAGGUGACUUAAAAGUACAUUCACCAGCUUAGGAGCGUAAAGGUACUAGAGAUUAAGAUGUUGUCUUUCCCUUCCCAAAUUUCUUUCUAAUCCUCCUACCCCCCAGCCCUUUCCCCACUCUCGCCUCUUUUAAACAUGGACAGUGUACUAUCCUUCUCUCCCUCUCUGAUUUACUACCACGUAUUUUAAACCACCAAUGCAUUUUAUACCUUUCUUAAUGUUCAUACUCAAUCACGUACUUCUAUUUUUGUAAAUAUUUCCGUUUUGCUUAUGCACAUUUUCCUUUGGCUCCCUCAAUAGAUAAGCUGGUCCAUUUAUAGUUGCUUUGUUUAUUUUUUGUUUUUGUUUUUUUUUUUUUUUUUCAUUUUGAAUCCAAUCAGACCUUCCUCUUGAAGGAAUUCAUUUCAGAGCUUGCUGAAAAGUCUCAUCAUAACGCAGGUAACAAUGACUUAACUGAAUUGAUUUACGCAUUCAAUUCAAUCCACAAACACAUAAUUUAUCUGUGAUUAUAUGCUUUUUUCUAUUUAUAAAAUCAUGAACGUUUAUCUAUAUGCCUGUUUGUCUACCAGUGUGUGUUACCAUGGUUAUUUAUAUGAUCUUACAUGCUUUUUAGAAAAGGAGAUUGUAAUCCGCUGGGAAGGAAAGACAAAGAAAGUUAGAUUUGCGUUGUUCUGUAAAGGUCAUUAGGCUUCCGGGUUGUUGUUUUGUUUUGUUUUGUUUUCCUUUUGGAUCAGUGAAAAAGUGAAAUUCCAGGCCCCGGGUCUUCCUGAGAGCUGGUUUAAUUUUGUUUUUGUUUUUAAAGGUUAUAUUUGCAGAAUUUCCACAUUGUUCUGAGCUGCUGGGAAAAGAUAGUCACAGAUAUAUUUUUUCAUGUUUCUUAGGGAUUUUUCACCUCAGAUUUCCUCGGAUGUUGUCAACUAGAGUACAAUUGUCUGGGUUUUGAAUGGAUAAUGAAAUGGCAUUGUAGGAGACAAGUUUUAUAGAUAGAGGAUAUAGGGAGGGAUAGAGGUUAGUAAAGUCUGACAAUAUUGAUAUUUUGGAAACUGUGUCUGUUAAUGAUUACUGAGCAUUUAAUUGGUGUAUAUGAGGCUUAACUUGUAUAAUUCCCUAAAUUUAAACACAGAGAUUUGUAUUUUCUUUUCUGUAAAAGAUAAGUGCAUUGAACAGUUACUAAGGUUUAGGAGGGCUUUCGAGGAUAGUUUCUGAGCUCUAUCAUUGUUUAUACAUCCACUAAGUAGGCAGCUACCACAUAGACAACAAGAGGACAACAUAUUGUGAGUUUACUCUUGCCUAUUUCAGGAGAAUAUUUGAGGGGACAUGAUAGUACGUUAAAAAAGAAAAAAAAAAUAAACAGAAUACUAGAAAAGGCUGAGGAAAACACAGACUCUGUGGCCACAGACUGCUAAGUCAGAUGCAGGCAUACAAAUUUCUUCAUGGACUUGACUUGAAAGUAUUCUCCUCCUCUUGGAACUGCCUAGUCCACAACGG
rnacentral:lncRNA from 1 species